AUGGCUAGUAAUUGGAGUUUCAGACAAUUUGGGGAGGUAAUUUGUAGCCAAUAUCCUUGGGGUUUGCUUGAUGAAGUGGUAUACAAAUACUAUGAUGGGGAAAAGAAAUGGGUGAUAGUUAGUAAUGAUGAAGAGCUGGCUACCAUGUUUUCUAGGCAUAAAGAGAAAGAAAAUUUUCAUGUGAGGCUGCAAAUUGAUGUGCUUGAGCAGGCAUUUGGACCUAGGAUGGCAGGUGCAACAUCUCGGGGAGAACCAAGUCGUCGUAAUGGCAUCUCUAGCCAGAACAGUUCAGUUGGUGCACGGCGACGUGGUGGCUCGACAAGUGUGGGCAACGGCAGUAGGGUCCCCCUUGAAGUGGAGCCUGAUGACUACAAUUCUGGGGUUGAUGAAGAGAAGUUAUAUUCUGAUGUUAUUCAGAAUUUACGACGGCCACCUCGGGGUAAAAACCAAGAUGAGGCUCACAAUGAUGUCCGUGUGGAGAUGACGCGGUGGGUGACGACGAAGACCUUGCAGCUGUUGAAUGGGACCCUUUGA
rnacentral:rRNA from 1 species